rnacentral:rRNA from 1 species
GGACGAACGCUGGCGGCGUGGAUUAGGCAUGCAAGUCGAGCGCGAACGAGAGACUUCGGUUUCUUUAGUAGAGUGGCGGACGGGUGAGUAACGCGUAGAUUAUCUGCCUUUAAGUGGGGGACAGCCCCGGGAAACCGGGAUUAAUACCGCAUAACAACUUUCGGGGUUAAAGACGGCCUCUGUUACAAGCUGUCGCUUAAAGAUGAGUCUGCGUCCUAUUAGCUUGUUGGUGAGGUAACGGCUCACCAAGGCGAUGAUAGGUAGGCCGCCUUAACGGGUGGUCGCCCACACUUGGAUUGAGAUACGCCCCAGACUCCUACGGGAGGCAGCAGUCGAGAAUAGUCUACAAUGGAGGAAACUCUGAUAGUGCGACGCCGCGUGAACGAAGAAGCAUUUCGGUGUGUAAAGUUCUUUUCUUUGUGAGCAAUGGUUUAUAGAUAAAUAGGUUAUAGACAGAGAUAUUAGCAGAGGAAUAAGCUCCGGCUAACUCCGUGCCAGCAGCCGCGGUAACACCCGGGGAGCAAGCGUUGUCCGGAAUUACUAGGCGUAAAGGGCAAGUAGGCGGAAGUAUCAGUCAGAUGUUAAAGGCACGGGCUCAACCGGUGUAUGGCAUUUGAUACUGUAAUUCUAGAGUAAGGUAGGGGAAGACGGAAUUCCCGGUGUAGCGGUGGAAUGCGCAGAUAUCCGGAGGAACACCGGAGGCGAAGGCGGUCUUCUAUGCCAUUACUGACGCUGAAUUGCGAAGGUGUGGGUAU